UGGCGGCAGGCCUAACACAUGCAAGUCGAGCGGUAGAGAGAAGCUGCUCUCUGAGAGCGGCGGACGGGUGGAGUAAAGCCUAGGAAUCUGCCUGGUAGUGGGGGAUAACGUUCGGAAACGGACGCUAAUACCGCAUACGUCCUACGGGAGAAAGCAGGGGACCUUCGGGCCCUUGCGCUAUCAGAUGAGCCUAGGUCGGAUUAGCUAGUUGGUGAGGUAAUGGCUCACCAAGGCGACGAUCCGUAACUGGUCUGAGAGGAUGAUCAGUCACACUGGAACUGAGACACGGUCCAGACUCCUACGGGAGGCAGCAGUGGGGAAUAUUGGACAAUGGGCGAAAGCCUGAUCCAGCCAUGCCGCGUGUGUGAAGAAGGUCUUCGGAUUGUAAAGCACUUUAAGUUGGGAGGAAGGGCAUUAACCUAAUACGUUAGUGUUUUGACGUUACCGACAGAAUAAGCACCGGCUAACUCUGUGCCAGCAGCCGCGGUAAUACAGAGGGUGCAAGCGUUAAUCGGAAUUACUGGGCGUAAAGCGCGCGUAGGUGGUUUGUUAAGUUGGAUGUGAAAUCCCCGGGCUCAACCUGGGAACUGCAUUCAAAACUGACUGACUAGAGUAUGGUAGAGGGUGGUGGAAUUUCCUGUGUAGCGGUGAAAUGCGUAGAUAUAGGAAGGAACACCAGUGGCGAAGGCGACCACCUGGACUAAUACUGACACUGAGGUGCGAAAGCGUGGGGAGCAAACAGGAUUAGAUACCCUGGUAGUCCACGCCGUAAACGAUGUCAACUAGCCGUUGGGAGCCUUGAGCUC
rnacentral:rRNA from 2 species